AUUGAACGCUGGCGGCAGGCCUAACACAUGCAAGUCGAGCGGAGCGGAGGACGGGUGAGUAAUGCCUAGGAAUCGGCCUGGUCGUGGGGGAUAACGCUCGGAAAAGGGCGCUAAUACCGCAUACUAUCAGAUGAGCCUAGGUCGGAUUAGAGAGUUGGGGGGGUACAGGCCUACCAAGGCGAAGAUCCGUAGAUGGUCUGAGAGGAUGAUCAGUCACACUGGAACGGAGACACGGUCCAGACUCCUACGGGAGGCAGCAGUGGGGAAUAGUGGACAAUGGGCGAAAGCCUGGUGCAGCCAUGCCGCGUGUGUGAAGAAGGUCUUCGGAUUGUAAAGCACUUUAAGUUGGGAGGCGUUACCAACAGAAUAAGCACCGGCUAACUCCGUGCCAGCAGCCGCGGUAAUAC
rnacentral:rRNA from 1 species